rnacentral:rRNA from 1 species
CCUACGGGAGGCAGCAGUGGGGAAUCUUGCGCAAUGCGCGAAAGCGUGACGCAGCAACGCCGCGUGGGGGAAGAAGGCCUUCGGGUUGUAAACCCCUUUCAGUAGGGAAGAAGCGAAAGUGACGGUACCUGCAGAAGAAGCGCCGGCUAACUACGUGCCAGCAGCCGCGGUAAU